rnacentral:lncRNA from 1 species
UUUUUUUUUUUUUUUUUUUUUUUUUUUUUUUUUUUGAGAGAGAGAGAGAGAGAGAACACAAGCUGGGAGAGGAGCAGAGAGAAGGACAAGCAGACUCCUGCUGAGCAUGGAGCCCGACACAGAACUUGAUCCCAAGACCCUGAGAUCAUGACCUGAGCCAAGAUCAAGAGUCGGAAGCUUAGCCACCACCCAGGUGCCCAGCAGGCUUUUUAUUCAGUGUAUUAGGGUGUGGAGACAGGGAGCUUGCAUAUACACUAAGGAACCUACACACAUUGUAUUACUUAGGUACUUUGGUUCAACUGUGUCUUGGUUUGCUGUCUUGAUGGAAGUAAAUUACUCCCUUUGGGUUUGUUGUGUCUUUUUAAACACUAGACAUUGCAGAACAUCCUCCCACUCUGCUGGUCUCUCCUGAUUCCCAGCCCCUUGCUGUGACCUCAUAUCUCACCCUUUCCCCUCAUCCCUCAUCUCUUUCUCUCAGGUCCCCCAACACCAGUGUCCCCUUAUUGUGUCCUCACUUGGUCACAUGUCUUUGAAAUGCCUUGUUAACAUGCUAUUUGAUGACAUUCAUUUGUUCUUUCCAAAGACCAAGACCUGCUGCCCAACAUGGUGCUCUUCUGCCACCAGAGGCUAAGGCUGUACCAAACUGCCCAGACAGGUAAGUGAGCAAGGGACCUAUCAUGUCACUUUGUACUUGCACCUGCGCAGAGUCUCCCAGUCUGGGCUUUCAAACCUAAUUCCUGUCCCCUGGGCAGUGACCCCAUGGACUCCAUCCUGGCUGUGUCCAAUAUGCACUCAGUUAACUGGCAUGUCUCUGUUUUUUUCAGCUGUUAGCAUGGAGCAGGGGAAGAGCAGGUGUUAUAUGACCAGAAAGAUAACCAUCAUGAAAUAUACCCAGAGCCUUUUCCCUACAAAGAUAUAUACUACCAGGAAUAAAGCUGCUAGAGCCAUCUGCAGCUGGGUGAAGGACAUUGCUCCCACUACAGGUCCCUCUAGCCUUCUUCUCUCACCUAAGUGAGAGAGAUCAUAGUCAGCAGGGGCCAGGGUUUUUAGCAAAUACUUUGAGAAUGCUGUAGCCAGGGAAGGCAGUUGGGGUCAAGGAAAAAAAAAUGAAAGAAAGAAACUACGGUGGUGGAGAUAUGCUCCUCAGACACAGUGCUACUAAAGAUUGGGAUUUCAUUGGAAGAUUUAGUAUGAUCCUCUCCCCUCUCACCUUUUACACAUCAGUGGAAUUCCAGUGUAACAGGAUUACAACUAAAAGAGAUGCAAGACACGGACUCUCUCUGGAGAGGAACACUUACCAGAGCACAAAGUCUACAGAAUAGACAAAAACUAGACCACUAGAGGAAUUUGAAGCCUCUAGCACCCAUAGUCACAACAAACAUUAAGUACAGUCCUACUUCGACCCAUAUUACCAAACCUCCUGUUUACUUUUGUUCCUGUUACCAAACAUAUUUCUCACUUUCAACAACAAAUGACAAGGCAUAUCAAAAGGCAAGAAAAAACAGGCUGAGCACACACAAAGCAAUCAUCAGAAUGACAACCAGAUAGGACACAGAGGUUGGGAGUAUCACACAGGAUGUAAAAUAACUAUGAUUAAGAUAUUAAGGGUCCUAGUGGAAAAAAAGUAGACAAAAUGCAGGAAUAGAUGGAUAAUGUAAGCAGAGAGAUGGAAACUCUAAGGUAAGAUCAAAAGUUAAGGCUAGAGAUAGAAAACACUAGUAGUAAUGAAGAGUGCCUUCAACUGGCUCAUCAGCAGGCUCAACCCAGCCAAGGAAAGAAUGGAUGUUCAGCACAAUUCAGCACAAUGCAAAUGCUUAUCACUAUCUGUUUCACAGAUGAGGACACAGGGGUUCACAGAAGUCCAACCAGGUUAGCUAGGGUCCCACCACCGGCCCCAGGCAACACCCUCCCCAUGACCCCCACAACCCCCCACCGCCAGCCACCUGGCAGUGUAAUCUUGUUCAGGGUGAGAUCUGAAUCAGGGAUAUGGAGCUACUCUGUGUACAGAGGACGACUUGUUGCCAUUUUUAUUUCAUUUCCAAUUUCAUUAAAUUGUGAGUUUACCAAACAAUUAGCAUUUCUCUAAAUAGUAGGCAAUCAAGAUCCUUCUAGUCUAACUAAUUACACGUUAUAGGGAUAAUUUUAAAAUACUUAGUUUUAUUAGUUUUUUUUUUUUUAAUUUUUAUUUAUGAUAGUCACAGAAGGAGACAUAGAGAGAGGCAGAGACACAGGCAGAGGGAGAAGCAGGCUCCAUGCACUGGAAGCCCGAUGUGGGAUUCGAUCCCGGGUCUCCAGGAUCGCGCCCUGGGCCAAAGGCAGGCGCCAAACCGCUGCGCCACCCAGGUAUCCCUAAAAUACUUAGUUUUAAAGAAAUUAAAUGUCUCCAAACAUUCAAACAGUGCUUGAAAUGUUAAUGCCUCUAAGCUUCUGAAUAAGUCACGAGUUUAAUAUGUUAGAUUUUCUUAAACUCUUUCAAAGCGAGCAUCUAUAGCGGAGAUAGAUGCAUAUAGAAGGAGGCAGGAAUAAUGAACGAACUUGACACACGUUAAUUCCAUAUUUCCUUAAAACAGUGGGUAAUAUGCGGUGGGUAACAUGACUGUACCACCUUAUGCAUGCAGAUUACCGACCCUGAAAAAAACCAAAUCGUCCCAGUGGAGCAACAUUUGGAAAACCUCU